CGACUGCUAAGACUGGAUAGGAGACAAGAAGGCAUCUUCUUGUUUUUAAAAGACCUAGCAAUAGGUAUGCUUAGGGAGGAGCUUGCGUCACAUUAGUUAGUUGGUGGGGUAAAGGCCUACCAAGACUAUGAUGUGUAGCCGGGCUGAGAGGUUGAACGGCCACAUUGGGACUGAGACACGGCCCAAACUCCUACGGGAGGCAGCAGUAGGGAAUUUUCGGCAAUGGAGGAAACUCUGACCGAGCAACGCCGCGUGAACGAUGAAGUAUUUCGGUACGUAAAGUUCUUUUAUUAGGGAAGAAUAAAUGAUGGAAAAAUCAUUCUGACGGUACCUAAUGAAUAAGCCCCGGCUAACUAUGUGCCAGCAGCCGCGGUAAUACAUAGGGGCCAAGCGUUAUCCGGAAUUAUUGGGCGUAAAGGGUGCGUAGGCGGUUAAAUAAGUUUAUGGUCUAAGUGCAAUGCUCAACAUUGUGAUGCUAUAAAAACUGUUUAGCUAGAGUAGGAUAGAGGCAAGUGGAAUUCCAUGUGUAGUGGUAAAAUGCGUAAAUAUAUGGAGGAACACCAGUAGCGAAGGCGGCUUGCUGGGUCUUUACUGACGCUGAGGCACGAAAGCGUGGGGAGCAAACAGGAUUAGAUACCCUGGUAGUCCACGCCGUAAACGAUGAGUACUAAACGUUGGGUAAAACCAGUGUUGAAGUUAACACAUUAAGUACUCCGCCUGAGUAGUACGUACGCAAGUAUGAAACUUAAAGGAAUUGACGGGACUCCGCACAAGCGGUGGAUCAUGUUGUUUAAUUCGAAGGUACCCGAAAAACCUCACCAGGUCUUGACAUGCUUCUGCAAAGCUGUAGAAACACAGUGGAGGUUAUCAGUUGCACAGGUGGUGCAUGGUUGUCGUCAGCUCGUGUCGUGAGAUGUUGGGUUAAGUCCCGCAACGAGCGCAACCCUUAUUGUUAGUUACCAGCACGUAAUGGUGGGGACUUUAGCAAGACUGCCAGUGAUAAAUUGGAGGAAGGUGGGGAUGACGUCAAAUCAUCAUGCCCCUUAUGACCUGGGCUACAAACGUGAUACAAUGGCUGUUACAAAGGGUAGCUGAAGCGCAAGUUUUUGGCGAAUCUCAAAAAAACAGUCUCAGUUCGGAUUGAAGUCUGCAACUCGACUUCAUGAAGUUGGAAUCGCUAGUAAUCGCGAAUCAGCAUGUCGCGGUGAAUACGUUCUCGGGGUUUGUACACACCGCC
rnacentral:rRNA from 1 species